ACGGGGGGUGCAAGCGUUAUUCGGAAUUACUGGGCGUAAAGCGCGCGCAGGUGGUUCGAUAAGUUUCAAGUGAAAUCCCUCAGCUUAACCGUAGAACUGCCUUGAAAACUGUUGAGCUUGAAUGUGGGAGAGGAGGAUGGAAUUUCUGGUGUAGCGGUGAAAUGCGUAGAUAUCAGGAGGAAUACCGAUGGCGAAGGCGAUCUUCUGGAACAUUUCUGACGCUGAUACGCGAAAGCGUGGGUAGCAAACAG
rnacentral:rRNA from 1 species